UGUAAAAGGCUGGAUGGCGGAUAGGGAGCGCGAGCGUGAAGAAACCGGCCGCCAUCUUACUGUACCCACAACAGUCGCCGCAGCGAUCAUGGCAACUUCUUGCAAUUACGGUCGUACCAACCGUACUGGCAGGGUUACAGGGCCUAAAUUUAUACAGGUUUCGUCAUGAGGGCUACCUAGUGAAUAAUCUGUGCAGUGUGAUAUGGCUGGGUGUACAGGUUACUUCACAGCUGCCUCGACAUACUCAAGAAUUGGGUGCAGAACCUGCGUAAUGCCCACAAACUCCACAGCACCUCCGGAAAGUAAAGGCAUAUGUGUCACAUGGGAUUUUUAAAGGCAUUCACAGUAUAUAAUACUUACCUUGUAUGAACUGUUGUAGAUCUAAGCAGCCUCUACAGUACACUCUCAGAAAUUAAAACUUGUCAUGGAACAGUGAUAAUUAUUCCAGUUAAUAGGCAUGCACCCAGUUAAUAGGCAUGCACAUGUACACUAUAAGAAGAAAAUUAUUUAUUGAGAAUGCCCUACUGUUGAUCACACUCAUGCAGCUGUAGGUUUACCUUCGACCUCUUGGAACUCUUUGUAGUUGCCUUAGCUGCAGGGGGAGUGUCAUCCAGCAUGUCAACUACUUGCAGAAAUAUUGACGUAUUUAAGAUUAUGACACAGUUUGAAGGGUUUCAAUUCAGGAAAUUUGCAGUGGCAGGGCCUGCCAGAGUGAAACCUACUGAAUAUUUUAUGGUGUCGAAGUGGCAGUUCCUCCAGGAUAGGAAUAUCUUAGAUGGGAGCAAAAAGCUUGAAACUAACAAAGUGUUGUUUGCAUUAAGCAAUUUGUAAUACACUGAACACAUAGGCAGCAAAACAAAAAUUUAAAAUUCAGCAUGUAUGAAAAUUGGGUGCAACAAAUUUGCAUAAUGUACGUGUACAUUGUCAUUCCUGAGAUAUAUAUUGCCAUUGUAGCAAGGUCACAAAACAAUAAAUGUAGCCUUUUGCGACCUCCCUGGACGUUCAUUGUAUCCUGAAACGCAUAAGUGCAAGAAAUAAAUCUUGAACUUGAAUAAACUUGAUGUUGUAUAAACUUGACAUAAAAUGUUGAAUAAUAUAAUGAAUGAUAUAAAAUAUUGAAUAAAC